rnacentral:rRNA from 1 species
UCAGGAUGAACGCUGGCGGCGUGCCUAACACAUGCAAGUCGAACGGGGUUACUGGCAGCGGAGAUUCGGUCAAAGCAGCCUUUAAUCUAGUGGCGGACGGGUGAGUAACGCGUGGGGAACCUGCCCUGUACUGGGGGAUAACAGUGAGAAAUCACUGCUAAUACCGCAUAAGCGCACAGCAUCGCAUGAUGCAGUGUGAAAAACUGAGGUGGUACAGGAUGGCUCCGCGUUGGAUUAGCCAGUUGGCGGGGUAACGGCCCACCAAAGCGACGAUCCAUAGCCGGCCUGAGAGGGUGAACGGCCACAUUGGGACUGAGACACGGCCCAGACUCCUACGGGAGGCAGCAGUGGGGAAUAUUGCACAAUGGGGGAAACCCUGAUGCCAGCGACGCCGCGUGAAGGAAGAAGUAUCUCGGUAUGUAAACUUCUAUCAGCAGGGAAGAUGAUGACGGUACCUGACUAAGAAGCCCCGGCUAACUACGUGCCAGCCGCCGC